UACAGAGGUCCCAAGCGUUGUUCGGAUUCAUUGGGCGUAAAGGGUGCGUAGGCGGCGCGGUAAGUCGGGUGUGAAAUCUCGGAGUUUAACUCCGAAACUGCAUUCGAUACUGCCGUGCUUGAGGACUGGAGAGGAGACUGGAAUUUACGGUGUAGCGGUGAAAUGCGUAGAUAUCGUAAGGAAGACCAGUGGCGAAGGCGGGUCUCUGGACAGUUCCUGACGCUGAGGCACGAAGGCCAGGGGAGCAAACGGG
rnacentral:rRNA from 1 species